AUCCAAGUGACGAGUCCCAUAUAGGACAAAACGGGUGUCUUGGAU
rnacentral:hammerhead_ribozyme from 1 species